GUAAGACCCCUUUUCGGCCCCAAAAUAUAGCAGUUUUACAAAAUUGUUAAAAUGUAAACUUUUAGUUAUUUAUUACACAGAAGAAUGCUUCUGCUACAUAAAUAUGGGCUGUUUUGACACAUAUAUCGGAUACUUGCACCAUUAAGUCAGGCCAAAUUACUGAAAUCUUCACAAUUCUAGCUUUUUAGUUAAAUUUUAGACGGUUUUCGUGUAAAACGAAAGUGGCCGCAUUCGUGUUCAUCCUUUAUAUUGAAAUGUAAGUUGUAUUUUAUGAUAAUACAUAACAUAUAUAAAGGUUGAGGAUGAACACGGAUGCGGCCACUUUCAUUUUUGACAAAAACCAUCUGAAAAGUGACAUUUUUCGGCAUAUUUGGUAGAUUUUUCAUAUUUGAGCUUGAAUCGGAUAGUUUUUAAUGACUAAAUGAAUUAAAAUCUUUCACAUAAACUAUUUGAUUCAAAUAAAAUAGACACUUAAGUGUUAAAAAAGUGGUCAAAAUCUUUCGUCAGAUGAACCUGAAAUUUGAGGCCAAAAUCGGUCCUUACCGGACCUACUCCUUUU
rnacentral:lncRNA from 1 species